rnacentral:rRNA from 1 species
UACGGGGGGGGCAAGCGUUGUUCGGAAUUACUGGGCGUAAAGGGCUCGUAGGCGGCCAACUAAGUCAGACGUGAAAUCCCUCGGCUUAACCGGGGAACUGCAUCUGAUACUGGAUGGCUUGAGUUCGGGAGAGGGAUGCGGAAUUCCAGGUGUAGCGGUGAAAUGCGUAGAUAUCUGGAGGAACACCGGUGGCGAAGGCGGCAUCCUGGACCGACACUGACGCUGAUACGCGAAAGCGUGGGGAGCAAACAGG